GGAUGCGUGGCGUAGUAGAUAUGGCGCCUCACUGUCAGUCUCUUCCUUUUUUUUUUCUUUUAAUAUUUUUUUUAGUUGUAGACAGACAUAAUACUUUUAUUUUAUUUAUUUAUGUAUUUUUUAAAAAAAUUUUUAAUAUUUAUUUAUUUAUUUUUAGUUCUCGGUGGACACAACAUCUUUGUUUGUAUGUGGUGCUGAGGAUCGAACCCAGGCCGCACGCAUGCC
rnacentral:tRNA from 1 species